rnacentral:rRNA from 1 species
AUUCUAUGCCUGAGUACCCUAAAGGCACCAGAUCCUAUCUGAUCUCUAAAGUUCAGUCAGGUCAGGUCAGUCCUGGUUAGGAUUUGGAUGGGACACCUCCAGGGAAUACCAGAUGCUUAGACUA